rnacentral:rRNA from 1 species
CCUACGGGAGGCAGCAGUAGGGAAUCUUCCACAAUGGGCGAAAGCCUGAUGGAGCAACGCCGCGUGGGUGAAGAAGGUCUUCGGAUCGUAAAACCCUGUUGUUAGAGAAGAAAGUGCGUGAGAGUAACUGUUCACGUUUCGACGGUAUCUAACCAGAACGCCACGGCUAACUACGUGCCAGCAGCCGCGGUAAUACGUAGGUGGCAAGCGUUAUCCGGAUUUAUUGGGCGUAAGGGGAACGCAGGCGGUCUUUUAAGUCUGAUGUGAAAGCCUUCGGCUUAACCGGAGUAGUGCAUUGGAAACUGGGGGACUUGAGUGCAGAAGAGGAGAGUGGAACUCCAUGUGUAGCGGUGAAAUGCGUAGAUAUCGGGAAGAACAACAAUGGCGAAGGCAGGUCUCUGGGCCGUUACUGACGCUGAGGAGCGAAAGCGUGGGGAGCGAACAGGAUUAGAUACCCCAGUAGUC